AACGGUCUAUACCUGCGGUACCUGCGGAAGGAUCAUUACUGAGUAACGUGGUCUUUUUCAUGACCCGCUACCCGCCCUUUGUCAUAUGUUGGACGAGGUCGUCUUUAGGGGCGGCCUCCGACCCCACUUCCCGGGAGGCGUUGCGCCUCAUCAAAGUCUAGGCCUUGAUGAGGAUGGGACCGCCCGGGGUCUUUUUCAAACCCUUUGUGAGAAAUCUGAAGUCUGAAGCGAAAGCUUAAA
rnacentral:misc_RNA from 1 species